AAGUCGUAACAAGGUUUCCGUAGGUGAACCUUCGGAAGGAUCAUUAUUGAGAUUACUUUUACUACACCUGUGAAUUUAUUUACACUUGCUUGGUUGUUUCCCACAAGGGCGCAACCAAAUUUAAAACUACAAUUUUUUAUAUUUUGUCUGAAAAAACAAUAAUUUAAAAACUAUUAGCAACGGAUCUCUUGGUUCUC
rnacentral:misc_RNA from 1 species